ACAUCUUAUACUCUUGGAUAUACCAUGAUCCAUGAUCCAUUUCAUCAAAAUCUUACCAUAAACAAACAAAACUUAAUCUAAACCACGAAAAGUGAGAUCAUGGUUUAGAAAACUUUUCAAUCAUUGCUAGGAAUGGUUGGAUGAUGGCUACUCCUUCUUGGAUGAGUUUGAAAGCCCUCUUCUCUCUACUCCUCCAUAAUCAUGGCCUCCCCCUUCCAUUCCCUCUCAAGCUCUCAAGUUUUCUCUUGGAUUUUUGGGUGAGAGUGAGGGAGAAAACCCAUGGUUUCUUCUUUAUCUUCUUCAUCUUCUUUCUCUUUUUCUUCUCAUCUCUCCUUCCUCUUCUCUAAUGGUUGAUCUCUUUCUCUCUCUUCUUC
rnacentral:lncRNA from 1 species